AUGUCACAUGGGUCUAAGGACCAAAAUCAGAAGCACUGCUAUGGCCCCCAACCUUGCAAAGGGUUGGAGGUUUCAACUGUAGUCAGAAGUACAGCUCUACAACUUCAGCUGAGAAACUUCUGUGUUCCAUACAGAAUGGCUAACCUAAUCCAAGGUCUCCCUAAUUAUGUGCCUGCACAUAACUGUCACAAAGUGGAUCCACCAACGGAAGGCCUUUCAGGAGCAGAAGUGGUUGAUGAUGGCAAAUAUUUACACUCAAGCACGGUAUCUAAUAUGCUUCAGUUUGUCAUUGCCAGCAGGGCUGAAAGUGAGCAGUGUUGACAGUCUGCCACUCUUCUGGUGAGUCCUUUUGCUUUUUUGUCUUUUCCCUGGAUCACUUGAGCAUUGCUUGGCAGGGUGAGAUGAUGAAGAGCAGCUGGAAGAGGCUUUAGGACCAGGAGCCAGUCUCAAUCUAUUGCCCAUCAGGAGCCAUCACUGAUGUGUCUUAUGCUAAUUAUAUUCAGUUGCUGUUCUUCCCAUGGAACAGAGAACUAGCAAAGGGGCUUCCAAAGAGGAAGCAGCCUGGUCAAAAAGCCAACUAGAGCUCCACAGCUCGGCAUGCACCUGUGAACUGUAGAGCUAGGUGAACCAAAAGGUGUGUGGACGGUGCUCCCUCUACUGUUUGUCCUCACACCCAAGUGCCUCCCCAGUUUCAAUCAUUUGGAACAUUCCAUGGUUCUCAGAUCCCUCUCAUAAUAACCCUCUUACAAUAAUCCAAC
rnacentral:lncRNA from 1 species